rnacentral:lncRNA from 1 species
CCUGCAACCAGUACACUGGCUCAAGCCGUCGUCUCUGCCUGCAGGAUGCACCAGCUCCUGUUUGAAAUACAGUGAUUUGAAGAAGGAAACACUCUACAGAGUCUACUCUGGCAAGCCUGGGAACAGAGGCAACAGGAUAUCCAGCUUCCGGAAACUGCUGCGGUGCACUUCCAGUGGUUUUUGGACUCUACUGCCUGUAUUUGUAGCAGAUUAUGCUCCAAUUUCUAUGCACAGUGAAUGUAAGUUUCUCAUCAAGCACCAGGCACUUGGGUUCUGGAACCUCAAUGUGCAGACAUCAUUUCUCAGGUGCACAGUCCCUGUUCUCAAGGGCUCAAACUGAAAAGAAAAAAAAGAGUUGGCUGCGAAGAAAACCAAAUGCAAGGCAGGACUCCAGAUUCCCACUGCUGUGGAGAGAGAAAAACAGUAGCAGCAGCAACCCCUGCAAAUACAGCAACCUCAAACCUGAGAGACCGGAUGCUUCUGAGCGAACAGCAGAAAGCGUAUGACCGUUGUUCUCUGUUUGAUGUAUUGCUUGAACAGUUUUAAUUAUUUUAUUCCAAUUUAAAAUAAAAGUUAAUUAAAAUGUCUACCAGCUAUUAAUAGUUCACCUGUUAAAAAGAACCAUUUUUAUGUUUUAUAGGUUUUCCUUGUAAAAUCAAUGUACAAUCACUGUAGAAAAAUUAGGGGCAAGAAUGAGCAAAAUAAAAGAACAUGA